CCGCACUUUCGCCCGCCGGCACUUCCCGGCAAGCCUAGCGCGCGUCCUGAUACUGCGGGCGAGCGCGGGACUUGGCCGCCGACCCUGCGGCCUGGCCCCCAGCGACCCGCCUCUCCUCUUGGCUUUCUCAUUGGCUGGGAGGCAGCCUGGCGCGGACCCUCUGGAUUCUCAUGCCUAGUUAAUAGCAGAGCCUCAGCUGCUUCACCUGCGAAAUGGGGAUUCAGAAAGCUCCGGCUGCUAUGAGAAGCAUAGGAUCUGUCGAAGGACGCAGAUCCUACAGCCCUAAGUGGGCAGAUGCCCCCGAAGUGUCAAGUAUGAGCUGCCUUUUCCAUUGAAGACGCAUUUCCUGUCUGAA